GAUGAACGCUGGCGGCGUGCCUAAUACAUGCAAGUCGAGCGAACGGACGAGAAGCUUGCUUCUCUGAUGUUAGCGGCGGACGGGUGAGUAACACGUGGAUAACCUACCUAUAAGACUGGGAUAACUUCGGGAAACCGGAGCUAAUACCGGAUAAUAUUUUGAACCGCAUGGUUCAAAAGUGAAAGACGGUCUUGCUGUCACUUAUAGAUGGAUCCGCGCUGCAUUAGCUAGUUGGUAAGGUAACGGCUUACCAAGGCAACGAUGCAUAGCCGACCUGAGAGGGUGAUCGGCCACACUGGAACUGAGACACGGUCCAGACUUCUACGGGAGGCAGCAGUAGGGAAUCUUCCGCAAUGGGCGAAAGCCUGACGGAGCAACGCCGCGUGAGUGAUGAAGGUCUUCGGAUCGUAAAACUCUGUUAUUAGGGAAGAACAUAUGUGUAAGUAACUAUGCACAUCUUGACGGUACCUAAUCAGAAAGCCACGGCUAACUACGUG
rnacentral:rRNA from 1 species